UACGGAGGGUGCAAGCGUUACUCGGAAUCACUGGGCGUAAAGAGCGUGUAGGCGGAUUAAUAAGUCAGAUGUGAAAGCCAAUGGCUCAACCAUUGAACUGCAUUUGAAACUGUUAAUCUAGAAUAUGGGAGAGGUAGAUGGAAUUUCUGGUGUAGGGGUAAAAUCCGUAGAGAUCAGAAGGAAUACCGAUUGCGAAGGCGAUCUACUGGAACAUUAUUGACGCUGAGACGCGAAAGCGUGGGGAGCAAACAGG
rnacentral:rRNA from 1 species